rnacentral:rRNA from 1 species
AGUAACGCGUGGAUAACCUGCCUCACACUGGGGGAUAACAGUUAGAAAUGACUGCUAAUACCGCAUAGGCGCACAGUACCGCAUGGUACAGUGUGAAAAACUCCGGUGGUGUGAGAUGGAUCCGCGUCUGAUUAGCCAGUUGGCGGGGUAACGGCCCACCAAAGCGACGAUCAGUAGCCGACCUGAGAGGGUGACCGGCCACAUUGGGACUGAGACACGGCCCAA